AGAGAAACAGAAAAUAUGAGUCUGCAUGGCUGUGUGUGUGAGAGAGGAAGUAGUGUGUGUGACAGGAACUUUGCAUGCCCAUAAAAGGAAACUGGCUGAUGUGUGUAGUGUGAGACCAGAGAGAGACUUAGGAAGGAAUGUGUUAAGAAAAAGUGAUAAAAUGAAAUUAAUUAAAUGCUUUAGUGUGUUAAUACAGGUGGACUUCCCUCAACCUGAAAUCUUGAGUAAAGCGGCAAAAUGAUAGAUUAACAGAAUUGGGAGGAAAACAGGCCAGGUUUUGGCUAAAAUUUUACAGCUUGACCUCUCACUUUGUCCCGACCCUGAGAAGAAGCUCAAAGGACAGUUAAUCUCCUGAUGAAGACCGACAGAACAUCGUGGACUUGAAGAAUUAACAGCAGGCAAAAGACAGUGCAACUGACCUAUAACACUGAAGGGUCAAGCAGCAGCAUGUAUGAAUACCACUGAUGGAACAUGAGUUUUGAAUUGCAAGCUGGAAACUUGACAAGUGACAUGACUGUUUGAAGGCACUGGAUGUGAUAUUUGCCAUGCUGGGAGUUAACCUAAAAGAAAAGACUGAAAAGAUCAAGAGAGAAGUAACAGAGAAGAAGAAACAGCUGAGUUGGGCCUGUGUUGAUCUGUGAGGCCCCACAGGAAACUAUGAGAACAGUGAGAGACGUGAACCUGGACAUCAUAUAGUGAAUGCAUAUGGGAAAAUUGGAUUGAAGGCUGAACUCAUGAAAGUUUAGAAAUGUCCACCACAUCACAACAAAGAGGGAAACAAAAAAGCAGGUGAAACUAUGUCAGUUGACCUCGGACUCUCAGUACGCUGUGGAAUCUGAGGCCAACCACUAGAUAUGAUGUGAGGAAAAUGAACAGAGGGAGUAAUUUAAGUCUGAUUUCAGACUAUAGUAAAAAGAACAAAGCAGAGUAGGAGCCAUUGAGAUGAUCCACGAUUUGCCCUGCCACACCUGCAUGAAGAGUUGGGUUGUGCAGACGAGCGAGUAAGACAUCUCCCCCACAAUUCUUUGGAUGGCCCUGGAAGUCAU